GACGAACGCUGGCGGCGCGCCUAACACAUGCAAGUCGAACGGAGCUUAGAGAGCUUGCUUUUUAAGCUUAGUGGCGAACGGGUGAGUAACGCGUGAGUAACCUGCCCUAGAGUGGGGGACAACAGUUGGAAACGACUGCUAAUACCGCAUAAGCCCACGGUACCGCAUGGCACUGAGGGAAAAGGAUUUAUUCGCUUUAGGAUGGACUCGCGUCCAAUUAGCUAGUUGGUGAGGUAACGGCCCACCAAGGCGACGAUUGGUAGCCGGACUGAGAGGUUGAACGGCCACAUUGGGACUGAGACACGGCCCAGACUCCUACGGGAGGCAGCAGUGGGGGAUAUUGCACAAUGGGGGAAACCCUGAUGCAGCGACGCCGCGUGGAGGAAGAAGGUUUUCGGAUUGUAAACUCCUGUCGUUAGGGACGAUAAUGACGGUACCUAACAAGAAAGCACCGGCUAACUACGUGCCAGCAGCCGCGGUAAAACGUAGGGUGCAAGCGUUGUCCGGAAUUACUGGGUGUAAAGGGAGCGCAGGCGGGAAGACAAGUUGGAAGUGAAAACCAUGGGCUCAACCCAUGAAUUGCUUUCAAAACUGUUUUUUCUUGAGUAGUGCAGAGGUAGAUGGAAUUCCCGGUGUAGCGGUGGAAUGCGUAGAUAUCGGGAGGAACACCAGUGGCGAAGGCGGUCUACUGGGCACCAACUGACGCUGAGGCUCGAAAGCAUGGGUAGCAAACAGGAUUAGAUACCCUGGUAGUCCAUGCCGUAAACGAUGAUUACUAGGUGUUGGGGGAUUGACCCCCUCAGUGCCGCAGUUAACACAAUAAGUAAUCCACCUGGGGAGUACGACCGCAAGGUUGAAACUCAAAGGAAUUGACGGGGGCCCGCACAAGCAGUGGAGUAUGUGGUUUAAUUCGAAGCAACGCGAAGAACCUUACCAGGUCUUGACAUCCGAUGCAUAGCACAGAGAUGUGUGAAAUCCUUCGGGACAUCGAGACAGGUGGUGCAUGGUUGUCGUCAGCUCGUGUCGUGAGAUGUUGGGUUAAGUCCCGCAACGAGCGCAACCCUUAUUGCCAGUUACUACGUUAAGAGGACUCUGGCGAGACUGCCGUUGACAAAACGGAGGAAGGUGGGGAUGACGUCAAAUCAUCAUGCCCUUUAUGACCUGGGCUACACACGUACUACAAUGGCGUUAAACAAAGAGAAGCAAGACCGCGAGGUGGAGCAAAACUCAAAAACAACGUCUCAGUUCAGAUUGCAGGCUGCAACUCGCCUGCAUGAAGUCGGAAUUGCUAGUAAUCGCGGAUCAGCAUGCCGCGGUGAAUACGUUCCCGGGCCUU
rnacentral:rRNA from 1 species